rnacentral:rRNA from 1 species
UACGGAGGGUGCAAGCGUUAAUCGGAAUUACUGGGCGUAAAGCGCACGCAGACGGCUUGUUAAGUCGGAUGUGAAAGCCCCGGGCUCAACCUGGGAAUUGCAUUCGAUACUGGCAAGCUAGAGUAUGUGAGAAGGGGGUAGAAUUCCAAGUGUAGCGAUGAAAUGCGUAGAGAUUUGGAGGAAUACCAGUGGCGAAGGCGGCCCCCUGGCACACUACUAACGCUCAGGUGCGAAAGCGUGGGGAGCAAACAGG